CACAUAUUGUUAGCUUUUUUUAAAUCAUACCACAUAAGUGUAGUAGUACCUUAACUUCUGGAUAUAAUGGAUAAUAUUUAUUUGGUGCCAUUACUAAAUGAAUGGUGAAUUAUUGCAACUUUCUAAUCUAUAGAGCAACAAUCUAAAAUAAUCUUAACAUUUAAAUUUAUACCAUACCAUAUUACUAACUAUCAAUCAUUUGGUUAGGACGAAGUUGUAUGAAAGUCGUUCCAUCUGCGACCGUAGAAUAUCACCGAGCGAGAAACGUUGGGAUUGUAGUUGUGCAGACAAGGCUAGUUGUUCAUGCGAAGCGAUUCUGUCUUUUGCACUGUCUUCAUUCUUGACCUCGAGGUGGAUCGGUCUCAUCUCUUUCUUCACUGACUCCACAUUAAGGAUGUGUACCAACGAUAUGUUUACGUAAAAGAGCUCAGCAACUGUUGGAGAUCUCAAGCUUGCCAUAGAGAUUACCUUCAUCCACGUCUCCAAUAUCUCAUGGGCACACCUGUGGGGGCAUUUCUGUUUGGGUUUUGGUGGUCAGAAGUUAAUCACUAAUACUGAGUGGCAUUGGAAGUUAUGGUCUGCAGGACGGUGAUGCGGUUUCCAUCUCAUUUUCAUGAUACAUGAUAAGAGGUCAAAGCAGGAGUGAGACUCGGUACAAAACAAGAUGCUGUUACUUAAUUGUUUCAGGUAAGGAGGCUCCGUGAAAGGUUUUACACAUUCAAUUUUGUAAUCACAACAAAAUGGUCUGAGGAACAUGUUCUAUUACAAAGGAUAGUAGUAUGUUCAGUGGAAGCUUAUACAAUGAUCAGUAGUACAGAUAGUGCCUUAAACAAAAAAAAAACAAAGUGGAAAAACAUAGCUUUUGGCAGAACACACAAAAAAACAACUCCUAAGAGAUGUAAUGGCGACUAAGAAGAUACACCGCCACUGCCAAAAGC